rnacentral:rRNA from 1 species
ACAGCAGCAGCCGCGGGAAUACGUAGGGUGCGAGCGUUAAUCGGAAUUACUGGGCGUAAAGCGUGCGCAGGCGGUUGUGUAAGACAGGUGUGAAAUCCCCGGGCUUAACCUGGGAACUGCGCUUGUGACUGCACAGCUAGAGUAUGGCAGAGGGGGGCGGAAUUCCACGUGUAGCAGUGAAAUGCGUAGAGAUGUGGAGGAACACCGAUGGCGAAGGCAGCCCCCUGGGCCAAUACUGACGCUCAUGCACGAAAGCGUGGGGAGCAAACAGGAUUAGAGACCCCUGUAGUCCCUGUCUCUUAUAC